UGUGCUCAUUUUGUUAGCUGUGUCCACCUGUUUACGUUGACCUUCCUCGUUUGUGUCGACCAAUCGGCUCCCUCUCUCACUCGCGGCUUGUCCAAGUGUUCCUCGUCUCGUCAAGCUCUCUGUACACCAUUUAACGCCCUGUCUUUUGUCGGUUUUCUUUUCAGUCCACUGCGUUGUUGAAGUCGUGUCUGUCGGUACCCGUGCCACAUCUUGUCUAGUUUAGGUUUAUUUGAUAUAUUUGGUGACUUCGUCGCCUUCGCGAGCCCGGACCGUGACAGGUGUCUCUUCCACAAGCCGGGCGGCACAUGUCACGAGGCAGUGGUGAACUGGGCAUCUCGGCUGGCCCGGGCCAACAGCUCGAGUAGCUACCAGCGGUCUGGGACAAUUGCACAAGGAACCGUCCAACAGAGACACCUCAGGGAAAGGAAACACAUACUGCACAUACUUCCUGCCUCUGACCCCACCUUGCCCCCUAGCUAGGAGAGGAGGAUGGAUGCUGCUCAGUGACGUGAAUGGAAAUCCAUGUACUGAACGUUCAGAGUUGAAGCUCAC